rnacentral:rRNA from 1 species
GAAUGGGGAGGGGAUAGAAUGCUAGUCGUGCGCCUUCUAGCCACGCUGGAGGCGCGGCACACAGCUCAGUAGCACGUGGCUAACCUGCCCUUGGGACGGAAACAUCCCCGGGAAACUGGGGUCAAUGUCCGAUAGGCGAAGAUUUCUGGAAUGAGUUUUCACCUAAAGGGCGUCUAGGCCAUGCUUCUAGACGUUGCCCAAGGAUGGGGCCGCGGCCGAUCAGGCUGUUGGUGAGGUAAUGGCUCACCAAACCUUUGACCGGUUCGGGCCGUGGGAGCGGUAGCCCGGAGAUGGGCACUGAGACAAGGGCCCAGGCCCUACGGGGCGCAGCAGUCGCGAAAACUUCGCAAUAAGCGAAAGCUUGACGGGGCCAUCCCGAGUGCCAUCUGCUGAGGAUGGCUUUUACCCAGUAUAGAUAGCUGGGGGAAUAAGGAGAGGGCAAGUCUGGUGUCAGCCGCCGCGGUAAUACCAGCUCUCCGAGUUGUGGGGACGUUUAUUGAGCCUGAAGCAUCCGUAGCCGGCUGUGCAAGUCCUCUGUUAAAUCCAGCGAUCAAUCGUUGGCCUGCGGGGGAUACUGCUCGGCUAGGGGGCGGGAGAGGCCGUCGGUAUUCUUGGGGUAGGGGUGAAAUCCUAUAAUCCCAGGAGGACCACCAGUGGCGAAGGCUGUCGGCUAGAACGCGCUCGACGGUGAGGGAUGAAAGCUGGGGGAGCGAACCGGAUUAGAUACCCGGGUAGUCCCAGCUGUAAACUAUGCAAACUCAGUGAUGCAUUGGCUUGAUGCCAAUGCAGCGCUGCAGGGAAGCCGUUAAGUUUGCCGCCUGGGAAGUACGUACGCAAGUAUGAAACUUAAAGGAAUUGGCGGGGGAGCACCACAAGGGGUGAAGCCUGCGGUUCAAUUGGAGUCAACGCCGGG